rnacentral:rRNA from 1 species
UGGGGAAUUUUGGACAAUGGGCGAAAGCCUGAUCCAGCAAUGCCGCGUGUGUGAAGAAGGCCUUCGGGUUGUAAAGCACUUUUGUCCGGAAAGAAAUCCUUGGCUCUAAUACAGUCGGGGGAUACGGUACCGGAAGAAUAAGCACCGGCUAACUACGUGCCAGCAGCCGCGGUAAUACGUAGGGUGCAAGCGUUAAUCGGAAUUACUGGGCGUAAAGCGUGCGCAGGCGGUUUGCUAAGACCGAUGUGAAAUCCCCGGGGCUAACCUGGGGAAACUGCAUUGGUGACUGGCAGGCUAGAGUAUGGCAGAGGGGGGUAGAAUUCCACGUGUAGCAGUGAAAAUGCGUAGAGAUGUGGAGGAAUACGAUGGCGAAGGCAGCCCCCUGGGCCGAUACUGACGCUCAUGCACGAAAGCGUGGGGAGCAAACAGGAUUAGUACCCUGGUAGUCCACGCCCUAAAAC